AUACGGGGGGUGCAAGCGUUAAUCGGAAUUACUGGGCGUAAAGCGCGCGUAGGCGGCUUGUUAAGUCAAAUGUGAAAGCCCCGGGCUCAACCUGGGAAUUGCAUUCGAUACUGGCUAGCUAGAGUAUGGUAGAGGGAAGUGGAAUUUCAGGUGUAGCGGUGAAAUGCGUAGAUAUCUGAAGGAACAUCAGUGGCGAAGGCGACUUCCUGGACCAAUACUGACGCUGAGGUGCGAAAGCGUGGGGAGCAAACAGGAUUAGAUACCCCGGUAGUCC
rnacentral:rRNA from 1 species